rnacentral:rRNA from 1 species
AGAGUUUGAUCAUGGCUCAGGAUGAACGCUGGCGGUAUGCUUUACACAUGCGAGUCGUACGAAAGUUUUCGAACUUUAGUGGCGGACGGSUGAGUAACACGUGAGAAUUUACCUUUAGGAGGGGAAUAACAGUUGGAAACGAUUGCUAAUGCCGCAUAAUAUUUAACAAAAUUAAAGAAGUAAUUCGCCUAAAGAAAAGCUUGCGUCUGAUUAGCUAGUUGGUAGGGWAAAGGCCUACCAAGGCGACGAUCAGUAUCUGGUUUGANAGGAUGWCCANUCA